AGCUCAUCCCCGAUUAGCAAAUGUACAAAAAUAGUCCACUGGACCCGCGGGCAAGAGGCGCCGUGUUUUGCCGCCAUUUUCAGGGUCCAGUCCGUGCUCUCAAUUUGGCACGGUGGCGCAGCGGUAGAGUUGCUG